UACGUAGGGUGCGAGCGUUGUCCGGAAUUACUGGGCGUAAAGAGCUCGUAGGUGGUUUGUCGCGUUGUCCGUGAAAUUCCCUGGCUUAACUGGGGGCGUGCGGGCGAUACGGGCAGACUGGAGUACUGCAGGGGAGACUGGAAUUCCUGGUGUAGCGGUGGAAUGCGCAGAUAUCAGGAGGAACACCGGUGGCGAAGGCGGCCUGCUGGGCAGUAGCUGACACUGAGGCGCGGACAG
rnacentral:rRNA from 1 species